UUGUGGAGGAGGACGCCGAAGGUGGGGCUAAUGACUGGGGUGAAGUCGUAACAAGGUAGCCGUACCGGAAGGUGCGGCUGGAUCACCUCCUAACAGGGAGACAACAAAAUGUUUAAAAUUAUUAUUUUGUCACCUUAGGUCGAUCGGUAUCUCACGUUUUUAAUUUAUUAAGAAUUUCAUUUCCUAAGUUUUUCUAGGUCACACCCAUUUUUUUCCUGGGCCAUUAGCUCAGGUGGUUAGAGCGCACCCCUGAUAAGGGUGAGGUCCCUGGUUCAAGUCCAGGAUGGCCCAUAUCUCUAUGUUGGGGGUAUAGCUCAGUUGGUAGAGCGCCUGCUUUGCAAGCAGGAUGUCAGCGGUUCGAGUCCGCUUACCUCCACUGAUUACCACCUCUUCCAUAAUCUGUAGAAAGGAAAAUUUUUUGAGUGUGAUCAUAAUUCUGAACGAAUCUAGCUUCCUAAUGAAACCAUUAAGCUGCUGGACUCAUUGAAUUAAUUUCAUUGUUUUCAGAGAACCUUGACAACUGCAUAGAUUAUUUUUAAAGACAAUAAGCAUCUUUAAUGAUGCAGAUUUAUUAUUCGUGCAAAUGCAUUAAUAACAAUUCUAUUAAGCUGAUGCUUCAUUUUGAAGUUAUUGGUCAAGCUACAA
rnacentral:misc_RNA from 1 species